UACGUAGGGUGCAAGCGUUGUCCGGAAUUAUUGGGCGUAAAGAGCUCGUAGGCGGUCUGUUGCGUCGGCUGUGAAAACCCGGGGCUCAACCCCGGGCCUGCAGCCGAUACGGGCAGACUAGAGUUCGGCAGGGGAGACUGGAAUUCCUGGUGUAGCGGUGAAAUGCGCAGAUAUCAGGAGGAACACCGGUGGCGAAGGCGGUCUCUGGGCCGAAACUGACGCUGAGGAGCGAAAGCGUGGGGAGCAAACAGG
rnacentral:rRNA from 1 species